UACGUAGGGUGCAAGCGUUAAUCGGAAUUACUGGGCGUAAAGCGUGCGCAGGCGGUUGUGUAAGACAGAUGUGAAAUCCCCGGGCUCAACCUGGGAAUUGCAUUUGUGACUGCACGGCUAGAGUGUGUCAGAGGGGGGGUAGAAUUCCACGUGUAGCAGUGAAAUGCGUAGAUAUGUGGAGGAAUACCGAUGGCGAAGGCAGCCCCCUGGGAUAACACUGACGCUCAUGCACGCAAGCGUGGGGAGCAAA
rnacentral:rRNA from 1 species